rnacentral:tRNA from 1 species
GGAGGGAUGGCCGAGUGGACUAAGGCGGUUGUCUUGAAAACAACUGUGGGUUUAUUCCCACCGGGGGUUCGAAUCCCUCUCCCUCCG